rnacentral:rRNA from 1 species
AAUUGAAGAGUUUGAUCAUGGCUCAGAUUGAACGCUGGCGGCAGGCCUAACACAUGCAAGUCGAGCGGUAGCACAGAGAGCUUGCUCUCGGGUGACGAGCGGCGGACGGGUGAGUAAUGUCUGGGAAACUGCCUGAUGGAGGGGGAUAACUACUGGAAACGGUAGCUAAUACCGCAUAACGUCGCAAGACCAAAGUGGGGGACCUUCGGGCCUCAUGCCAUCAGAUGUGCCCAGAUGGGAUUAGCUAGUAGGUGGGGUAACGGCUCACCUAGGCGACGAUCCCUAGCUGGUCUGAGAGGAUGACCAGCCACACUGGAACUGAGACACGGUCCAGACUCCUACGGGAGGCAGCAGUGGGGAAUAUUGCACAAUGGGCGCAAGCCUGAUGCAGCCAUGCCGCGUGUGUGAAGAAGGCCUUCGGGUUGUAAAGCACUUUCAGCGGGGAGGAAGGCGUUAAGGUUAAUAACCUUGGCGAUUGACGUUACCCGCAGAAGAAGCACCGGCUAACUCCGUGCCAGCAGCCGCGGUAAUACGGAGGGUGCAAGCGUUAAUCGGAAUUACUGGGCGUAAAGCGCACGCAGGCGGUCUGUCAAGUCGGAUGUGAAAUCCCCGGGCUCAACCUGGGAACUGCAUUCGAAACUGGCAGGCUAGAGUCUUGUAGAGGGGGGUAGAAUUCCAGGUGUAGCGGUGAAAUGCGUAGAGAUCUGGAGGAAUACCGGUGGCGAAGGCGGCCCCCUGGACAAAGACUGACGCUCAGGUGCGAAAGCGUGGGGAGCAAACAGGAUUAGAUACCCUGGUAGUCCACGCCGUAAACGAUGUCGAUUUGGAGGUUGUGCCCUUGAGGCGUGGCUUCCGGAGCUAACGCGUUAAAUCGACCGCCUGGGGAGUACGGCCGCAAGGUUAAAACUCAAAUGAAUUGACGGGGGCCCGCACAAGCGGUGGAGCAUGUGGUUUAAUUCGAUGCAACGCGAAGAACCUUACCUGGUCUUGACAUCCACAGAACUUAGCAGAGAUGCUUUGGUGCCUUCGGGAACUGUGAGACAGGUGCUGCAUGGCUGUCGUCAGCUCGUGUUGUGAAAUGUUGGGUUAAGUCCCGCAACGAGCGCAACCCUUAUCCUUUGUUGCCAGCGGUCCGGCCGGGAACUCAAAGGAGACUGCCAGUGAUAAACUGGAGGAAGGUGGGGAUGACGUCAAGUCAUCAUGGCCCUUACGACCAGGGCUACACACGUGCUACAAUGGCAUAUACAAAGAGAAGCGACCUCGCGAGAGCAAGCGGACCUCAUAAAGUAUGUCGUAGUCCGGAUUGGAGUCUGCAACUCGACUCCAUGAAGUCGGAAUCGCUAGUAAUCGUAGAUCAGAAUGCUACGGUGAAUACGUUCCCGGGCCUUGUACACACCGCCCGUCACACCAUGGGAGUGGGUUGCAAAAGAAGUAGGUAGCUUAACCUUCGGGAGGGCGCUUACCACUUUGUGAUUCAUGACUGGGGUGAAGUCGUAACAAGGUAACCGUAGGGGAACCUGCGGUUGGAUCACCUCCUUA